UCUUCUUCGCAACACUCACAUUACAAGGAUAAUGUUAUUAACAAUUCUUUCCGAUAUAAAUUGGUCUUUUAAGAGCAGAAAUGUGUAAUAUAGUUAGGAUUGCAUGUGGUGGAAUUUGAACCCGCGACCUCGGUGUUUUAAGACAACACCUCAAUCUCU